AUUGGGUUUUUCUUUUUUGAAGACUGAUGACUCUUUUUUGAAGUUGUCCUUCCCUUUGCAGAGCCAAGACAGCCUGUCUGCAGCCAUAAGCAGAUCCAGCACCUCACACACCUGUGUGUCAAUGCCCCUGUGUCAAUGCCAGGGGCUGUUGCUCCACAGCCCUCCCCACACCAUAGGAGGUUGCCUUCUCCAAGGCAACUCCAAGAAAGGUUGCCUUCUCCAGCCCAAAAGUUCCCUCAAAGCCGGGCUGCGUGAGAGACAAGGAGCGCUCUUUUCCUCGGCGGCGCGGCUGGGAUCUUCUCAGUCACUUUGAGAAGUGUGCCUUCCCCUCCCCCGCCCCUUCCACACAAGAAAACAGUUACAGCCUUGCUGAUGCUGCAGGAGGGUUUCCCGGGGGCCACGGGAGCUGCCUGUCUCCAGGGAGGCUCUGUUCCACCUGCCCCCUGACUUUAAUGCCCUUCCCAGGGAAUUACCCAGACUGUUCCCAUCUCAGGGUCUGGGGGGCAGCAUUUUUUUCUCCUACACAGCAGCUUGCACAAAGCUGCAGUGUGAUAGGAGAGCAAAGGUUUUUUUGGUUUGUUUUUUUGUGUGUGUGUGUGUGUUUUUGGGGUUUGGGGGGUUUCUUUGUGUGUGUGUAGGCACAGAGCAAUGAAAAAAGGCAGCUAUUGUUCUGGGCAGCAUACCUGGGCAUGCCUGGAAGAUGCCCUAAGUAGGCUGUGUUUCAAGCCCAACAGGCUGAUUUACCCAGCAGCACUCUCCAACUGGAGCACUCCACCUCUCCAUCUCCUGCCUGUACUACAUCCUUUAAGGGGUGGCACAGCUCAGGACCACAUUGCAGCAGGUACUAAAACAAAGAAUCACAGAAUCAAUUAGGUUGGAAAAGACUAUUGAGAUCACUGAGUCCAACCCUUGACUGAUCACCACCUUUUCUACUAGACCAUGGCACUAAGUGCCACAUCCAGUCAUUUCUUGAACACCUCCAAUGAUAGUGACUCUACCACCUCCCUGAGCAGCCCAUUCUGAUGUUUAAGAACCCUUUCCAUGAAGAAAUUCCUCCUAAUGUCCAACCUGAACCUCCCUUGGCGCAGCUAGAGGCUAUGUCCUCUCGUCCUGUCGCUAGUUGCCUGGGAGAAGAGGCUGAUCUCCACUAAUGAAGUAGUAUACUUCAAUAAAGGACUGAUAUUAAAAACAAUUCCAGAGAGUAAAAUAUAUUUUGUAAUGCUUAGACCCAGGUAAGAUCUGCAUCAAACCUUUUGAAUCAUCCCAUUAUUUAUCUGAAAGGAAAGAAAACAGUACAAAACUUACGUGGGCAUCUGCCACGUCUGAGUGAAUUCGGUGUUGGCAUUCUAUGCCUUAUGGAGAGAUGAACUAGAAAAUUUGGAGGCCUGGGUGUUCUAAUGUCAUGGUACCCAAGAGUCACAAUCUUCAUUGUUAUCCCAGAACAUAUUUCCUUCCAAAACAGUGGUUUAAAUGGCAGCUGAUUAUAGACAGUUUUCAGGAGUAACUUUGACUCAAAGGAAUAUAACAGUUUCUUAAUGUAUUCCUCUACAGAAUACUGCAUCAAACCUGAUCCAGUCAGACAAAAAUGGUAAAGCCUGAUUCCAACCAGUUCAAACUGGCUCAAACUGCUUCCAACUGAUUUAAACUGAUUCAAAAGGGUUCUGACUGGUUCAAAGCAUUUUAAACCAGUUCAAACUGGACCAAGCCAGUUAAAACAGGAUCAAAGUGGUUCCAACCCAUGCAAACCAGUCUAAACUGGAUCAAACUGGUUCCAACUGUUUCAAGUGCCUUGAUACUCAUUGCAAAGAGUUGCAAAAUUUGAUUGAUGACUUUGCAGCAGAGGUACUAAGGUCCCCUGUGCUAUGUGCGACUUCAGCAAGGCUGGUUUGAACAAGGAAAAGAAUCUUUCCUGUGCAUUGAUAAUUCCAAGUAAGAUUCAUUAGCCCGUCCUCUCACUGAGCACUGUGUUCCUUGGCACAUACUGUCACCUCUGUCCAACCAAUCUGAGGACUCAUUAGGUACAUAAGCAUCAACAAGGGAUGCAUAUUCAGGUUACACAUCAGGUGAUUAUGAUAGUCAAGAUACUCUCAGCUACUGAGAUACACCUAAAGCAGCAUGGUGUAUUUGAGAGAGGGCUGUAUUUUGCACGCUCCUUCACUAGCUGUUUGCAGUGGCACGUGGCAUGCACACCUGCUUUUGGCUGUGCCAUUACCCCAGGCUCUACCAUGCUGCUCUUAUUUUAUGGCAGAGCCCAGCACUAUGCAAUCCAAAAAGCAGGUGUGUGACAAACCUCUCACUUCAGUGACAUACAUACCCCAAUCCAUCAAGUACUGCAUUUUUCUCUCACAGUUUAGAUAGGCAAUUACUUCCUCUGUGGUUGCUGUGUGUUAUACCGUGUAUCAGCAAAUGAAACUACCCUUUUGAUAUCUUACAUUUCAAGAGCAACACAACCUCAUUUCAAGUAAAAACUUUUGAGCAUUUUUUCAUGCUGGGAAUAACUAUUUGUGGUGGAACUGUGGUCCGAGGAAAAUUUCUUUCAUACCUACUGAAAUCUAAUAAAACAAGUGAUUGUGUUUCAGCUUCCAAAAUCACUACUUUGUCUGCUUAUUUCUGGAACCAGAUCUUCCAAAUUUCCUCUCUUACUUAUGAAUUACAGUUAUGUGCUAAAUUUUCAGUCUUGACAUUAUAUUAACAAGUCCAUGGGUCAGCAUAUAUGUUAAUAGUGCCCACUUAAGCAGCUUAAACAGUGUUUCACCUCAUAGCAACCAUCACUCUAGAACUGUGCUGAAUCACCUGGAAGACCAUAUGAUGUCCUGCUCCUGAUGCCAUUUGAGGUGCACGGCUCCCAUUUGUUUAAUAAAUUAAAAAUUUAACAAUUAACAA